GCAUAUCAAUAAGCGGAGGAAAAGAAACUAACAAGGAUUCCCCUAGUAACGGCGAGUGAAGCGGGAUGAGCUCAAAUUUAAAAUCUGGCUGGUUUACUAGUCCGAAUUGUAGUUUAAAGAAGCGUUUUCGGUGGCAGCCUGGGUAUAAAUCCUUUGGAACAGGGUAUCAUAGAGGGUGAGAAUCCCGUCUUUGACUCAGUGCAUGCUACUAUGUGAUACGUUUUCAAAGAGUCGAGUUGUUUGGGAAU
rnacentral:rRNA from 1 species